rnacentral:rRNA from 1 species
UGGGGAAUAUUGGACAAUGGAGGAAACUCUGAUCCAGCAAUUCUGUGUGUGUGAAGAAGGUUUUAGGACUGUAAAACACUUUUAGUAGGGAAGAAAAAAAUGACGGUACCUACAGAAGAAGCAACGGCUAAAUACGUGCCAGCAGCCGCGGUAAUACGUAUGUUGCGAGCGUUAUCCGGAAUUAUUGGGCUUAAAGGGCAUCUAGGCGGUAAGACAAGUUGAAGGUGAAAACCUGUGGCUCAACCAUAGGCUUGCCUACAAAACUGUUGAACUAGAGUACUGGAAAGGUGGGUGGAACUACGCGAGUAGAGGUGAAAUUCGUAGAUAUGUGUAGGAAUGCCGAUGAUGAAGAUAACUCACUGGACAGAAACUGACGCUGAAGUGCGAAAGCUAGGGGAGCAAACAGG